GUAUUGUGAAUGGUGUUCAGCACCAAGGACAGAUGUGUUUGCCGUAUUGUGAAUGGUGUUCAGCACCAAGGACAGAUGUGUUUACCA
rnacentral:pre_miRNA from 1 species